ACCUUUGUGCAGUGGCAACAUCGUACCCAAUGAGGUUUAUCCGAGGCACAAUUAUUGCUAAUUGAAAACUUUUCCCCAUACCCUGCCUGCCAUGAUGACUUGUAAUACAGUCGGCAUUGGCAAUUUUUGACAGUCCCUAUGGGGA